rnacentral:rRNA from 1 species
GUACGCUGGCGGCACGCCUAACACAUGCAAGUCGAACGAAGUAGCAAUACUUAGUGGCAGACGGGUGAGUAACAUGUGGGUAUCUGCCCUUUGGCCUGGAAUAACACGAGGAAACUUGUGCUAAUACCGGAUAAGUCUUUACGGAGAAAGCUUUAUGCACCAUUGGAUGAGCCCGCACUUGAUUAGUUUGUUGGUGGGGUAAUGGCCUACCAAGACUGUGAUCAAUAGCUGAUUUGAGAGGAUGAUCAGCCACAUUGGGACUGAGACACGGC